AUACGAAGGGGGCAAGCGUUGUUCGGAAUAACUGGGCGUAAAGCGCACGUAGGCGGAAUGUUAAGUUAGAGGUGAAAUCCCAGGGCUCAACCCUGGAACGGCCUUUAAUACUGGCAAUCUAGAGACCGAGAGAGGUGAGUGGAAUUCCGAGUGUAGAGGUGAAAUGCGUAGAUAUUCGGAGGAACACCAGUGGCGAAGGCGGCUCACUGGCUCGGUACUGACGCUGAGGUGCGAAAGCGUGGGGAGCAAACAGUAUUAGAAACCCUAGUAGUCC
rnacentral:rRNA from 1 species